GGACUUCGGGGACUUAGCGAACGAUCUUUUCGACGUUUCUGUACAGACAGAGGCAUAAGUCGACGUUGUUCUCUGACUAAAGAGGAACUAGAACGCUGCGUGUCUGACGCCGUGAGCGAGGUCGGACCAUCUUGCAUCUUCAGAUCGUCAAAAAGCAAGAAGAAGGCAACGGCUACACAAUAAACUGCAGAGAAGAUCUUCAGCUUUAGAGAUGUCCACAACUUUGAACGACGAACAAAAGAAGACUUACGCUAGUGCCACGAAACUAGAAUUGAUGUCGUCCGAAGUCUCUGAAAAUAGCAGUGAUAACGAGCCACUCUCUGAGGGAGUCUCCACUGCUGGACAUUCACAACUCCUGAUCCGACCUCUUCCGUGGAGAGCGAUUGAAGCAACAAAGGUGUUUGAGUUUUGGGACAGAAAGUACGCCAGAAGGCAGACUCAGAGAGGAACGGUACCAAGAGUAA